GUGAGGAAGGGAUCCUACUGACCCCAGCCCCCAGACCAACUUCAGUGAAGAGACAGAGACUAAGAGGUGAUGGAGCCCUGGUUCCUCAUGCACAGACAAUUAUGAUACUUAAUUUGGAACUGCAGAAAGCUUUGGUUCACGCACCUGAAAAGCUAAAGCUGACCCGGAAGUUAUGCUUAGAGAAGAAAAAGAGGGAAGAGCCUCUUAGGUAACUUGAAGAGCAUAAAGGAUCCAGUGAUAAAAACCACUGCCCUGAAGUGACAUGUGCUACUUCUGGGCUGAGGAUUAAACUGCUGACAUGACACCCUCAAGAUCUCUCUUUUUCUCCUCCGCCAUCACAUCCAAAAAUUCUCCAGAGUGGAUGCUUCAUCAGCAUGAGUUUGGAGCUAAGAUGAUGAUGAUACUGAGAAGAGCCUGGGGCGGACUCAUUAUGAAAAAUAAACUUUUAUUGUUUUAAGCCACUGAAGAAAACAAAAAACACUGCCCUGAACUUUCCAAGGUGUAAUAAAUCUCUCUGCAUAAGACUCUCCAGUCAUCGCCAAGACAGAUCCUGCACUGGGAGCCAUGUGGAAAGAAGACUGGAUUGGAAAUCAGAUUCGGGGUCCUGCUGGGGUUCCUUCCAGAUGACCCCACCAAUCAGCCAUCUGGUCUCAGAUUCCACAUAUGAGUGAGAUCAUAUGAUAUUCAUCAUUCUGUGUCUGACUUUCUGCAACAUGGAUUGACCUAGAGAUUAUCAUACUAAGUGAAGGGGAAUACAUGGCUUUCUCCUCAGUUCUUUGCAUUCUUCCAGUGCCUUUGAUUUUGAAAGUACUACCAGAAUGAUGGCUGCAUUUUCAGUGGUGGAAAUUAUUGCUAUGUCUCAGAAGCAAGGAAUCACAGGAUAUCUACUUUCCAGUGGUGAUAUAUGACUCUCAUAAAUGAAAGCCACACCAUCAUUUAUAACACCCUAAUGAGUUUUUUUCAUAGAAACAGAACAGACACUCCUAAUGUUUCUUGGAACUUCCCAAAAAAAAGGGAAAGAAAAAAAAAUUCAACUAAAUGCCCGAAUGUUAGCCCAGUAUUGGAAGGGAGCAGCCUUAAAGAAUAAUUGGUCGCUCCUAAGAAACCAUUAAUAUAACAAAAGCUGUCCAAAGAUAUGAAGGAAGAAAGGAUGGUACUUUUUGAUUAUGAGGUGGGGUGACUGGCAGGCAGAAGGUGAAAUCAUCUGAAGGGCGCUCACUCGCGUGUCUGGUGGUUGACGCUGACUGUUGGCUGGGACCAACAUGGGGCUGUGGCUGGAACACCUACACGUGGCCCUACAUUCAGCUGCUCAUCUUCCCCACAGUAUGGUGGCUGGGUUCCAAAGGUAGUCACAAAGCAUUGCCCAGGUGCCAAGAGAGGAAAAAUGGACUCUUAUCUCUUGAUGGGUAAGUAGCAAGUUCUACAAGAACAUGUGGGACUGGAAAUACCAACGUGGCCAUUUUUGGAAAAUACAACCUGCCCCAGUAAGUCCUCUCCUUUCUGAUGUGGUCUGUACUACAUAUCUACAGAGCAAAUAUGGAAGAUGGCUCAGAUCCUCUUGGCUGCCCUGCUGAAUGUGAGUAUUGCAGUUUCACCUUUACUCCAAAAACCAUAUUCAUGCGUUGUGAAAGUUGUAAAUUCUUAUGUGAGAAACAAAAAGAAUUUUAGUAUUAUUAUAUUCCCCACGCUUAGCACAACCAUGGUUUUUGAAACAAUUUCCCUGUGUACUGUCAAAUGUGUCUUAACCUAAAGGGGAGAUUGACACAUUACAGGGAUGGUGAAAGUCUACCUUUAUUGGUUGGACCCAGGAAGCUGGUGGGUUUGUAUUAUUUUUAUCUCUGAGCUUACUUGUCAAAUACAAUGAAAGAUAGCACACAGAAGAGAGAGUCAUGAAAAUGAAUGUUUUGCAAUGGAAUUUCAAAUAUUCUUCUUAAAUGCACAUUGGUGUUAUUACCUACCAGCCACACUAUUCGAGACUAUGUUAAGUUUGCUUAUUUUUAAAAACUUAUUUAUUUUUGGCUGUGCUGGGUCUUUGUUGCUGCGCAGGGGCUUUCUCUAGUUGAGGCGAGCGGGGGCUACUCUUCGUUGCGGAGCGCGGGCUUCUCAUUGCGGUGGCUUCUCUUGUUGCGGAGCACGGGCUCUAGGUGCGCGGGCUUCACUUGUGGCACACGGGCUUAGUUGCUCUGCAGCAUGUGGGGUCUUCCUGGACCAGGUUUCUAACCCGUGUCUGCCAGGCAGAUUCUUAACCACUGCACCACCAAGGAAGUCCCAAGGCUAUGUUAAGUUUAAUAUGUUGAGAGUCAGAUGCAUUUCUCAUUUUUUGUUAAGGUUUGAGUCAACUUACUCAUUGUAUCCCUAGUGUCCUUGGUUCCCACUGGGGCAUGCAUGCAUAGAAAACAUAUUUACAUAGAGUGGCACUUAGAGAAUUGUCAGAAAACAUCCAAUUAAUGGAGUCUACUAAGUUCAAAUCUCCUUUUACUUUAUGGUAUGAAUUAUUAUCCCCAAAUCAGCUGUAAAUUAGAUCUCCAGGGAUUCUAAUUUAAAAAAAACUCUAUUACUGUUCAUUUUUAUUUCUUUGAACAUAACCAAGUUCUUUCCUCAUUUAAGAAGAUGUGGUCAUCAUGUAACCAAAGUCUUGAAAACUAAGCUCUUUUGAUGACUGACAUGUGAAACAAAAAAGAAAAAAGAAAGAAACUAGACUUUCACAUUGCCUUUUAAAGUGUGAAAAACAGCUUGUAUUCAUGCUUGGAUAAAUCAGUCAAAUUGAAUUUUAACAAAGUUUUGCCUCCUAAUAUUUUCUUGUUUAGACUGAAGACAACCAUGAGACAUUUCGUUUUAGCUCAGUCAACACUUUAUUCUUCAGAAAUUUGUUAAAGACUUGAAACUUUUUCCAGUCUGUUCUCUCCCAUCAGUACAAUGCCAAAGUAACAAAAGGAGCAAGAAUCGAGGAAGUGUGGAAAGUGCAUGUGUGGAGGAUGGAAGACUUUCUUUGAUUUUGCCAAAAGGAGAGAAUGAGAACAUGAUAAAUAAGGCAGAAGAAGAAUUGCUUUGACUGGAAGCUUCGAAACCAUAUCUCCCUCUUCCCCUGCAUUUUGAAUGGGGCUCCGUGUACAUCUGAAACCUGGAAGUUGGUCAUGACUUUCUCUGCAGUGUCUUAAAGGAGGAGCAAAAUAUGAUGGAUCAGCUGCUUACAAUCACUUUAUUUCCAAUAUUUUAAAAUUGGUUUGGUUAUUACAGAAGAUCGAGCAGAGUCCCCUGUGCUGUACAGCAGGUCCUUGUUGGUUUUCUACGUUAUAUAUAGCAGCGUGUACACUCUCUGCCCCUCUGUCUCCUGCAUACCCACUGCCACUGUCCAGACUUCCUGCAUCCUUCUCCAGGACACUUCAGUAAAGAGAAGAGAGGAUGGAGCAAUGUCCUCAAGCUGAUGGGAGGCCAAGUGUAUGGGUCGGAAGACUUGACCAUAAGUACCUCUAAUCCUCCAAGACAAUAGGGAAAGAUCCAAAAAAGAGAGCAGAGGUAGGUAAACUUGGAGGUGGGAACACCACAGGAUGGUACAGUUCAAGCCAGAUGGCUUCAGUUUUUGUUGAAGUAGCUUACAAAGUCACAUCUGCUGGUAGUAAGGACAUUGAGACUGGGGAAAGGGCUGAGGGAAAAUGGUAGCUUGGGAACAUCAGAGAAGUAAGUAGAAGGAGAAAUAUCACUGAUGGCAGGGGAGCGCAUUGGGUUUGAGAUGCCUCUGGUUUUCAUGGUUGUGAUUUUUUCCACCUGCAAGCAGAAGCCCAGGAACAGAGGCAGAAAAUAACAGCAAACAUUUAUUGAGCAUUUCCUAUGUACCUGAAGCUUAUCUUAGCAUCUCUGCAUAUUGUGGUAAGCAGAAUAAUGACCUUCUAGUAAUGUCCACAUCCUAAUCUCUGGAAUCUGUGAAUUUGCUACAUUAUAUGGCAGAGGGGAAUUAAGGUUACAGAUGGAAUUCAGGUUGCUGAUCAGCCAACUGCAAAAUAGGGAGAUCAUCCUAGAUUA